rnacentral:rRNA from 1 species
GACGAAGGGGGCUAGCGUUGUUCGGAAUUACUGGGCGUAAAGCGCGUGUAGGCGGUUGUUCAAGUCAGGUGUGAAAGCCUUGAGCUCAACUCAAGAAAUGCACUUGAUACUGGAUGACUAGAGUACCGGAGAGGAUAGUGGAAUUCCCAGUGUAGUGGUGAAAUACGUAGAGAUUGGGAAGAACACCAGUGGCGAAGGCGGCUAUCUGGACGGUUUCUGACGCUAAGACGCGAAAGCGUGGGGAGCAAACAGG